UGUAGCUCCAUGGUAGAGCACUUGCCUGACAUGUAUGAGGCCCUGGGGUCAAUCCCCAGCA
rnacentral:tRNA from 1 species